ensembl:snoRNA
AUCCUUUUGUAAUUCAUGAGCACAGUGAUUGGGUCUUUGUGUACCUGUGUGAGAUGUGCCUCCCUCAAACUUUGUCAGUAAAGUACAGGAUGCUUAAGCCC